AAAAAAUCCCAGAAACAGUCCCCGAGAGUCGAAACGUGAAAAACCCUCCCCCACCACUCCGCUUCGCUCCUCUGAGGAAGGAGGGGACGCCGUGGGGGCACCGGUAGAGACGACGCUCUCCCGUUUCGUAGGAACAUUUUGACAUCUAACUCUGGGACAUUUUAGAGCUUUCUUCCCAGCAUACACAGCUUAGACAAUUCUCUGCAAUAGUACAGAAAUCCUCUGCUCUUCACUGAGGCUAAGGUUCUAAAGAAUAAUCAAGAACCACCUUUCACAAGCCCUGGUGAGACACAUCUGGAGUGCUGUGUCCAGUUCUGGGCUCCUGAGGAUAAGGAAGACAUGGAACUCCAGGAGCAAAUCCCACAGAGGGAUAUGAAGUUGAUUGAGGAACUGGAGCAUCUCUUUUACAAGGAAAGACUGAGGGAGCUGGUUCAGCAUUAAGAGACAACUGAGAGAGGACCUCAUCGUCUGGCAGUAUCUGAAGGGAGAGUGAUAAGAGGAUGGAGCCAGGCUCUGCUCAGUGGUGCCAAGCAACAUGACAAGAGGCAACAAGCAGAAAAAGAUGCACACCUGAACAUGAGGAAGAACAUCUUCACUGUACAGGUAAUUGUGCACAGAGAGGGUGUGGAGUCUCCCUCACUGGAGAAAUUCAAGAACUGUGUGGAUAAAAUGCAAAGUGCUCUGGAAUGACCCUGCUUGAGAAGGAAGGUUGGACCAGAUGACCCACUGUGGUCUCUUAUAACUUGAUCCAUUCUGUGAUUCUGUGAUUUGAUUUUUCCUAUAGCAAAAUAUUUGUUUGCAGUUUGGUUUUGUAUCAGGAUAAUGCUUUCACUCGAGACACACUAGCUGGCUGUUAUCUGAAACACUGGCUAGUUUUUUUCCAGUUGAACCAUUAUUCUGCAAUACUAUUUUAAUCUUUGUUGUAAGAGGAACAAUUGUUAGAAAUAAAAGAAUAGUGAGGACAUUUAAAAUUUAAUUUUUUAUUUAAUAACAGAGUGAGUAUAAAAAUAAUUUUAAUAAUUUAAAUAAUAUACAAUAAAUUAAGGAACCCAAUACAAUCUACAAGAUCUUGUCGUUUUCUUAAAUGCUUCUCUCUUUUCAUUAUGGAAAAAUAUUUAAGUAGCUCUUCCAGACAUCUAUGAAUCAAUGCUGAUUGUGUCUUAGCUAAAUUUCUUAUUGGUUGCUCAGGACUACUCUGACACUGAAGAAGAAUCCUCACUCUUUAAAAUUUACUGCUUCUCAAACACCCCUCUCCCCAGGAAAUACAGAAGCUUUGAAAGAAACAAACAAAAAAAAAAAGUGCCUGGAAAGAGUAGAAGAGAAAAAGCUAGAUAAAUAAAUCCACAGUUACAAUGACUUUGAUGCCAACACUUCUUGCACAUCAAGUGCAAUUCCCAUAAUAUCUGGAUGUGUAGAAGGAAUAUAUCUGUUUCCAAGGAGUAAUAUUGGCGUAUAUUUCCUGGUGCCACUUUUUCUGUGAAGAGAUAGCUCAGCACUGAAGUAUACAUUGUUUGAAGUACCUAAAGUACUAGCAUGGUUUGUUUCUUUUUCAGACAUUUUUGGGCACUAUUUCUGCUAAAUUCUUUAUCUAUAUUGAUUAGAGAAACUAGUUUUCAAAUCAUUACCUGUAUUGUUCCUGAUAAAGCACUAAUGUUAGAGGUUAUUUAUUGAGACAAGAACUGUAAUUAAGAGGAAUUAAUUUUGGCUAACUGAAAUAUUAGAAAGCAUCAGAAUAACCAUAAAUGCCAUAAUGACUCUAGCUAAAUGACACCUAUUUUAAUAGCCAUCUGGAUCAAGCAUUUGAAAUCUGUAGUCUGUUAUCUUGUUUUCUCUUGUUCUCUCAACAUUAUGUCCAGUAGCAAUUGCAACUCAAUGUUCUAUAAAUUGUGAGUGACAGAGAGACAUCAAAGUAAAGACAGAAAUAAGUGGAAGCAGAAAAUGCCAUACUACACAAUGAAACAAGCCCUGUCACCUCUGUGGUUGUUUUUAGUGAAAGGAUGCACUGCAGGUCCAGUUUGAGUGAAUGACCUUAAGACCCCUUGCUUUGAAUCUCCUUCAAGGACAGCACCACAUAUCAGGAUGAGUGUACCUCAUCGUGAGAGGGGAUCCUAUUUUUCAAGACCAAAGUUCCUUUCUUUAAAUUUUAACAAUGAUCAUGUAAAACAGUUUUUACUUAUUUUAUUUUUCUUGAUCACUACAGACUCUACCAAUUCCCUUUUAGGCUGUAUGUUGUACUUCCUCUCUACAUGAAGUCCUGAUGUGUGCUUUGUCAUCUUGUUUUACCACACAUGGCAUGUAUAAUCAAUUGAUCUUAACAUAAGAAGUGCUCAAAUCUGCCUUACUCAACAAAUUUUGGUUUAUUGCCAGAUGUGAAAGGUUUCUGAAAACUUCAGACUGUAGAAUUUUUCAGCUGUAUAAAGUUGGGUCCACUAGCAGCUACAACUUACUGAAGGAAUCUACAUAGCCUUACAAAAACAAUACUUCAAGCUGUGUUUUGAUGUGUGCCUGAGACUAGAAAGCACAUGAAAGUUUGAGGUGAUGAAUCUCAUGUCAUUUUUGUAGUAUGUCUUUUCCUCUGGCUCAGCAAUUCUGUCAUCAAAAAAGCCCUAUAAGGAAUGUCUGUGUUAUUUACUUUUUUGGUGUACACACAUUACACAUGAAAGUGUAAGGCCCAGUCUAGUACCCACUUAUGAAAAGUAGAGAUUUAAUGCUGAUUUUGGUAACUUGCAUUGGAGUGUGCAUUUAGAUAGGAAAUUAAACAGAAAAAGCAAAUGUUACAAAUCUGACCAUGUAUCUUCUCUGCUGGGGCACUGUCUUAUGUUCCCAGAAAUCAGGAACAAAGAAAUUAAAAUAAACUUUUCUCCUGUUACUUAAUACAAGAUUGACUGCUUCUAGAUGAAAAGGUCAAUACAUAUCAUAUUACUAAAGAGAAAUGUUAGAAAUUACAAAGCACAAACACACACAAUCUUUUCUUCUGCAAAGACUGAAACAAAAUUUUUUUCUUCAGGAAAGAAAAAGCAGAAUUUUUAUCUAAUACAAUGUUCAAUAUUUUGUACCUUUCAAAACUCUAUUAUCACAGAAGUGAAUACAAUGGUAUAUUCUUUUUGCUUGAAGCAGACUGGUUUCUAAAAACACUGAAAAAAAAACAGUCAGGGGGAAUCCCUUCUGUAAAAAAUCUCUUUCACAUUUUUCAUAUCUAUUUUCUACUGGACAAAGAGUUGGAUGUACAUUGCAUUGCAAAAAUGUAGUUUCAUCUAGGAAAGGGUAACAGGAAAAAAGGUGGAAAUAAUAAAAAAUAUAAUCUGUUUUCUGAGCAAGGUUGUCAUUAGUGUCUCCAGGAAAAGGUGAUGCAAACCUCUGCUAGGAAUAUUGCAUGUGCCCAGCCUGGAUACACAGAGAGGGUUUCAUAAUCUCAAGACUCCUGUUUUCCUCAUACUUCUUGCACAGGUUCUUGGGAUUUUCAAGACAAGUAGUGGCUUACCAGACAAAUAGUUAUUAAAGAGGCUGUGUG